AUUGAACGCUGGCGGAAUGCCUAACACAUGCAAGUCGAGCGGAGUAGCAAUACUCAGCGGCGGACGGGUGAGGAAUACAUAGGAACUUGCCUUUAGGUGGGGAUAGCUUGGGGAAACUCAAGGUAAUACCGCAUGAUCUCGCAAGAGCAAAGGGGCGCAAGUAUCGCCUUUAGAGAGGCCUAUGUCUGAUAAGCUAGUUGGCGGUGUAAUAGACCACCAAGGCGACGAUCAGUAACUGGUCUGAGAGGACGAUCAGUCACACCGGAACUGAGACACGGUCCGGACUCCUACGGGAGGCAGCAGUGGGGAAUAUUGGACAAUGGGCGAAAGCCUGAUCCAGCAAUUCCGCGUGUGUGAAGAAGGCCUUCGGGUUGUAAAGCACUUUAGUGAGGGAAGAAACAGCUUGGCCACACCAAGCCUUGACGGUACCUCAAGAAUAAGCACCGGCUAACUCUGUGCCAGCAGCCGCGGUAA
rnacentral:rRNA from 1 species